rnacentral:lncRNA from 1 species
UGGCGCAGUGGUUAACGAAUCCGACUAGGAACCAUGAGGUUGCGGGUUCGAUCCCUGGCCUUGCUCAGUGGGUUAACGAUCCGGCGUUUCCGUGAGCUGUGGUGUAGGUUGCAGACGCGGCUCGGAUCCAGCGUUGCUAUGGCUCUGGCGUAGGCCGGUGGCCACAGCUCCGAUUCGACCCCUAGCCUGGGAACCUCCAUAUGCCGCGGGCAUUUCUACCCUUCCAGGUAUAGAGAAUUUAUUCAAAGUCAGAUACAGACUGGCCAAACCACCUUCUACAAAGCGGACAGGAAAAAAGAGCCUACAGAAAAGGUAGGAGUUGUUAUAAAAUUGCCUUAAUUCCGCUCUCUCUGCGUUACAAGCCGGGGGUGGGUAGUGGACUGCCGUGCUGUGUGCUCCA